AGUGAACGCUGGCGGCGUGCUUAACACAUGCAAGUCGAACGAGAACGGAUUAUAGCUUGCUAUAAUUGUCAGCUAAGUGGCGCACGGGUGAGUAAUGUAUAGGUAAUAUGCCUCUUACUAAGGGAUAACAAAUGGAAACGUUUGCUAAUACCUUAUACUCCUUAUUAACAGAAGUUAAUAAGGGAAAGAUUUAUUGGUAAGAGAUUAGCCUGUAUUGUAUCAGUUAGUUGGUGGGGUAAUGGCUUACCAAGACUAUGACACAUAACUGGUUUGUGAGGAGGGACAGUCACACUGGGACUGAGAGACGGUCAAGAGUCCUACGGGAGGCAGCAGUGGGGAGUAUUGCACAAUGGACGAAAGUCUGAUGCAGCAACGCCGCGUGGAGAAUGACACAUGUCGGUGCGUAAACUCCUUUUAUAUGAGAAGAUAAUGACGGUAUUAUAUGAAUAAGCACCGGCUAACUCCGUGCCAGCCGCCGUAAAAC
rnacentral:rRNA from 1 species